UCGAAUAACUGAAUGCCGGAUAUUCGAGGUCCCUCUGGAUAUGCUGUUGAUCUUUGGGAUGGUAGCUGUUUCCCAGAUCUGAGGAACUUGUGCAUUCCUUGUAGCUGCCAAUACCCACCAAGGGUCAAUAUUCAACCAGAGGAAUGUCUGUGUGAAGGGUAUCACAGGAGAACCUGCUGUUAAGGAACACUUACCCACAAACACUACCUGACUGGAGUAUUUCCAUCUCGCCUUCCACCUCGAACCCAAAAGAGAGGCAAGGUUCAGAGGAGGCAGAAACAUCAUGAGGGAAGGUCCAGCAGGGAAAGGAGCAGGAGCUGAAAGUGAGAUGGUCAACUACAAGCAGAAUAAAACUGUUAGUGAGAUCCCGCUUGCUGUGGGUGUCCAGUGAAUACCAUAGUCAAGCGCUUGGCUGCAUCCUGAGGGUCUCCACACUAUACCAAAGCUUUUUCAAGAAGUGGAUCAUUGGUUCAGAAUCUAAUACGUUUCCAGGGAUCUCGCAAACCCUUCCUCAUGAGAACAAUGGUUGAAACAUUCUACAGCCCCUCCUGACUGAUGGAUAGUCGUUAUAUUUCUCCAGUCCCAAACCAACUGGUGAAGAAUCAGACUGGACAUUAACACUUUUCUUGAUAAUGGAUUUAAUUACAGCAAGCAUCAUCAAAUACACCUCGAUCCGACUGACAAACCCAUUGCCCCAGCGCUGAAUCUUUAUAAUGUUUGUAAAAAUCCAAAUCAACAUGAAUUAAAGACAGAAAUGAUGCCAGGAAGUAAUUUUCACUUUAAUUUGUCAAAGAGGAUACAAAUCACAUAAUCACAAGUGACAGUCCCUUAAAGGGUCACUUGUAUCAAAGAAAAUUUCAUAUGGAAACAUACCAUUCCGCCUCGGGACCCUACAACCACACAGGAUCAAUGUGGAUUUCACCAAUUUCCUCAUUUCCCCUCCCCCUAACUUAUCCCAGUCCCAGGCCUCCAACUCGGCACCACCCUCCUGACCUGUCCAUCACCUUUCUAAUCUAUCUGCUCCAACCCCUUGUCUGACCUAGCACCCUCUCCCUCAGCUUCAUCGACCUAUAGCAUUCCCAGCUACCUUCCCCACAGCCUCAUCUCCCUCCCAUUUACC